rnacentral:misc_RNA from 1 species
GUCUGUUGUCUCUCACCGGUUCUCCCUCUCCUCGAAGCAACACUAUAUAAACAAAAGAGAUCGGUACGGAAUCGAGCGAUUCGUCGAUCACGCAAUCUCCUUUUGACCGUCCUACGUGAAACAACCCACUUAACGUCUGGCUCUGUUGCCGCGAAGGGCACAGGCGAAACUGGUUUCAAAAUAUACAAAGCGAGUGUCGCGUUGCAACAAUUACGUCGAUACUUUGAGAACGUUCGUAUUCUGUACACUUUACGAUGUGAUCGUAAUCCAUAUUUCAAAAAUUUAUCGCAAGAAGUAUGAAUGUAUUAGAUUUUACAGAAUAUUUUCUACACAAAAGGCAUUCUUCAUUAAAACGAAGAAACUACGUUUCCUUUGAAAGUCGAAAACUUGGAAAAUUUUCGAGAAACGUUCGUACCAACCACUUUUGUUUUGAAACGGUCCCUUUGGCUGACGCGUAACGAGCGAAAAAGCGAACUUCACCGGUAUAUUGCCUAAGGAAAUUCGUAUUCAAGUUCGUCUAAACGCUUUUGAAGGAGUCACGUUUUAAUUCCAUUGAGAAGAUGAAGAGGUUCGUUACGAAAAUGUAACAGGAUAAAUGGAAGGAUCCGAAGAAAAGCCGGUAAAUGAAAGGAACAGCGAGAGAACAACCCGAAGCUCGGCCGAGAAUACCUUGCAAUGGAAUCGAUUAAACAGAAUUGAGAAUCGGGUCUGUAAACAUAUACAAUGAACUGUAAAAAAAAAGAAUGAAGAAAAAGAAUAAAAAAUGAUUUAGCCGCGGAAGAUAAUAUGUCGCUGAAACUCCGCCCCUCGAUUCGAUUCAGACACUGGCCAGGUGAAACUUAAUUAUCGCCAUCGGAUAAUCGCCUCUAAGAACACACCUCGUCCAAGAAUAAUCGUUGUCUGCUGGAAACAUCGAUCUCUUGGACGAUUUUUUUAAAACACGAGCAAACAAAAAGAAAAAGAAAGCGUAAUAAAAGAUGCGAUUUAUCAAGAAAACGGAG